CUAAAGCCGCCUGGGGAGGGCGCGGGACGCUUCUCUGCCCGGCCGUGGCCUUUGCUCUCUGACUCAGGGCUGUGCUGGGCCCGUGUCCCUGAGGCGGCAUUGGUGCUGGGCCAGGGGGGCACCCCAAGCUCCCGCCUCUGCGUGCCGCUCAGUCGUUUCCAGCCCAGCCCUGCAACCCCCAGGGCACUGCAGGGUGGAAGGAUGCAGCCUGAUGCCCACCUGCAGGCAAGCAAUGAGGAGUUGUCUUUUACCUCGUGGAAGAAAGCUUUUUCAGGCUCCUGCAUCGCAUAAGUGCCAGCUUGGCAUUUUUUACACCACCUGGACACGGGGGCAGGCAGCAAGGGGCUGUUAGGAGCUGAAAUCCCAAUAAAUACAAAAUACAGCCCUUUUUCCCAGCUACAGCUGGCAGAGGCUGCAGAUGGUAAAUAACAAAGUACACUGAAAUGUGGCGCUGUGUCAAUUUCCUGGCUUUUUGGUCUGCUGCAGGUCACUGCAACUUAACUCUUAGCAUUGCUCCUUUGCCAGUUUCCAACAUGGCUUCUCCUGGAGGGCCUACACGUUGCUGUGGGGUUUGUUAAUACCUUUAAUGAACUGCUGAGGAAGACAGCAGGGAUUUGUGUACAAGGUCAGUGGUUGCAAUCCACCACAGCCUGUGCCACAAACCAGCUAAUAGCUGCUAAAUGGUCCGUAUGAAAUCAGUUUAGUGGAUUUCAAGCCAGACAGCAGUUGAUAAAUGCCUAAAAAUCACUUCUCCAAUUGACUUCCUUGUUGGCAGUCACAGCAAGUUAGUGAUGGACUGAAGAGGCCAUGCAAAUUCAGCAAUUCAUGGGGGCUAUGAGCAUGGACAAGAUUGCUUGUGAAUACUUUCACCCUGUUGUGAAUGCCAGAAGUCUUCAGAGGAGAUCACAAUACAACACUAUAGGUAUCUAGCAGAAAUGUUAAGAUACGGCCUGAAACAGUGAUUGAGCACAUGGUGAAAAAGGCAGGGCCAACCCAGGGGAGCUCAGGUGUUUGCAAUGCAUCUGAGUGAGGAGAAGAGAUGGAGCCAGAAUCCACCCUUUCCCACACCUCAUUUAUGGGUUGGCAGUGGAGGUAAAGGUAUUUUGCUGAAGAUCCCUGCCUACUGGGAGUCUUCUAAAGUCGGACCUCUCUCACAUUCUGAGCUCUCCCAGCUGAAAGCUGCACUAUUUGAUACAAAGAUUAAGCUUCAGGAAAGGAAACUACUCAGAUGCUGGUAAGUGACGUGGCAGAACAGGUAGGUAAAAGGAGAACCUCUGGGAUAGCACAUUUUUUUGAUAAGUUCAAUUUUAAGCCCAGGAUGAAAUGCAGCUGCUGACACACAGAGCAGGUUCCCCAAGUGCUGGAUUUGUGGUGAAUUGUAGUGGGUGACUCCAGAAGCUUCUGGCAUUUCUUGUUUUUCCAAGAGAGACCAAAAAACCCAUGAGACGUGAAUGCCAUGGGAAAACCAUGCUUGUACACACAGGGUAGGCAAUGAUCUCUGUUUUUUGAUGGGUUUUCAGAGCCACCAGCUGAGGCAGCCUUUAGAGCAGAGUCCAAGCAUCACCUUCUUUCAGAAGUAUCCCUUCCUUCCUUCUAGGAAUGACAGUUACCAGAGUUUGUUAUUUAUUUGGGAUUUUGCUGACACCUCGACCCAACUCACAUUCAUACUUUCUGGGUGAUGUUCCAUAAUCAGAGUGGUCUGGGGACUCAGUGGUAGCGUUGUGACUUCUCUUUAUCUCCGUAUCAUCAUGCUUGAGUUCAUGCCUUGGAAAAUGUGCUGGGACAGAGUUCUGCCAUAAUAAACAAAAACAUAGAGGCUGUGUUGUCUGUAGAAACCACACCAGCGAAUGCUUGAUCUAU